GUUAAGGGAGAGGGUGAAGGAGAUUGCUAAAGCCGCCAUAAAAGCUACGAGCGAAGGUGGCUCUUCAUGGAAUGCGUUAAGCAACCUCAUCAGUGAGAUACAGAGGGAGAAGGAAAUCAACAGCUCCAAGCUCACCACAGUUGAUAUCUGCACGAAAUAAGCAUUAUAUUCAGAAUUAGAAAGUAGUACACUAACAUAUUGUCAAUAUUGUCAAGUAUGACACUUUGAAGAUUAAAACAGAGUAUUUCUUAGUCUCAUCAUCUUUUCUUUUAUCUUUUCGACAAACAUAUUACUAUUUACAACCAAAUCAAUCAGCUAUCCAACAAUUUCAGUAGAUAUAAUAGCAAACUAGUAACGAUAUUGAAAGAGCUUUUACCAAUAAUUUCUAUACUCUUUAAAGAGACAUCCUAAUUGAGCCUUUCAACAAUUUCUUUAAAGCUUACCAGACCCUCAGUAUCAAAAUUAUGUUAUGUUACAUCUUCAAUUCUCAGGAUAAGUCUAAACAAUAUUAUCAAAGUACAUAUCGGAAAUAUUCAAGUAGGACAUGGAACACACUUUGUGAUAGAAGAAUCUGACAAUUUCACUUCAAAUAUAAUGAUAUUUCGAUCUUUCACCAUCUUGACAACAGAGAAAAGACUUUUGAAAGAAAAAUUGCAUGUGAUUCCUUCAGUUAGGCAAAUAUAUGAGCAGAAAAAGGCAAUUUAAAUGAAUUACGCAGUAUUUCUAACAGGAAAACUACUAAUUAAAGGGGGAAAAAAAAGGGGUUAUCUGCAUAAAAUUAUAGAAGUAGACGAAGAAAUAACCAAACUAACGAAUUCACAAUUCAUCUGUUAUGCGAAGGCAGUAAUUAUAUCUAAACAAAAGAGAUAAAGCAAAUGACCUUAGUUGAGCUCGAAUCCUCAAACCUCAGGAUCAUUACUUAAUUUCGGAUCUUCGAUUGUUCAUCUUUCGCUUCUCCUCACUCCCUCCCAAAAUGAUCGCGUAUCUCAAGCCUUUUCAAAUUUAGAUUUAC
rnacentral:lncRNA from 1 species